AGCGAACGCUGGCGGCAGGCUUAACACAUGCAAGUCGAACGGGCGUAGCAAUACGUCAGUGGCAGACGGGUGAGUAACGCGUGGGAACGUACCUUUUGGUUCGGAACAACACAGGGAAACUUGUGCUAAUACCGGAUAAGCCCUUACGGGGAAAGAUUUAUCGCCGAAAGAUCGGCCCGCGUCUGAUUAGCUAGUUGGUGAGGUAACGGCUCACCAAGGCGACGAUCAGUAGCUGGUCUGAGAGGAUGAUCAGCCACAUUGGGACUGAGACACGGCCCAAACUCCUACGGGUGGCAG
rnacentral:rRNA from 1 species